GAUGAACGCUAGCUACCCGUUUAACACAUGCAAGUCGAGGGGCAGCAGGAUCUAGCAAUCGAUUGCUGGCGACCGGCGCACGGGUGAGUAACACGUAUCCAACCUGCCGAUAACUCGGGGAUAGCCUUUCGAAAGAAAGAUUAAUACCCGAUGGCAUAAUGAUUCCGCAUGGUUUCAUUAUUAAAGGAUUCCGGUAAAGGAUGGGGAUGCGUUCCAUUAGGUUGUUGGUGAGGUAACGGCUCACCAAGCCUUCGAUGGAUAGGGGUUCUGAGAGGAAGGUCCCCCACAUUGGAACUGAGACACGGUCCAAACUCCUACGGGAGGCAGCAGUGAGGAAUAUUGGUCAAUGGGCGCUAGCCUGAACCAGCCAAGUAGCGUGAAGGAUGAAGGCUCUAUGGGUCGUAAACUUCUUUUAUAUAAGAAUAAAGUGCAGUAUGUAUACUGUUUUGUAUGUAUUAUAUGAAUAAGGAUCGGCUAACUCCGUGCCAGCAGCCGCGGUAAUACGGAGGAUCCGAGCGUUAUCCGGAUUUAUUGGGUUUAAAGGGAGCGUAGGUGGACUGGUAAGUCAGUUGUGAAAGUUUGCGGCUCAACCGUAAAAUUGCAGUUGAUACUGUCAGUCUUGAGUACAGUAGAGGUGGGCGGAAUUCGUGGUGUAGCGGUGAAAUGCUUAGAUAUCACGAAGAACUCCGAUUGCGAAGGCAGCUCACUGGACUGCAACUGACACUGAUGCUCGAAAGUGUGGGUAUCAAACAGG
rnacentral:rRNA from 1 species